rnacentral:lncRNA from 1 species
GAAAAAUGUGAGGGUGGAGAUGUUCAGUUCUUUGUUUCCAUUCACUUUUGGAGGAAGGGAGCCCCGGAGAAGAUAUUCCCAUAGUGGAGAGACUGGAAGAUGAAGUGAAGGGUGCCAUUUGUUCACCAUCCAAGUAACUUGACUUCCAGAUCCACAGGCACUCACUCCAUGAGAUCAUUCUGUGAUGAUGCCCUGCACUACAAUUAAGAUUAGUGCUGCCCUCAACAUUAGCUGGAGAAACCUCUCUAUACAGUUGCCCAGUGGUCAAUUAAGAGAUUUCUAAUUCGUCAAAGAGCUGAGGGUGAGAACAGUGCUCAACUCUAAAUGGGACAGCUAUAUCUACCCUACCUGAAGCUCGGGAAACACUGAAAAGGUAUGGGGAAACAUAAGACUU